rnacentral:tRNA from 1 species
ACUAUUUUGGCAGAUUAAUGCGGUAAAUUUAGAAUUUAUUUAAGUAAUGAUAUCAUUACAUUUAGUA